GGCACGGUGGCUUAGUGGUUAGCGUGUUUACCUUGCACCGACAGGGUAGGGGGCUCGAAUCCCACCUCCACCC